rnacentral:tRNA from 1 species
GCGACAGUGGCUCAGCUGGUAGAGUACGACCUUGCCAAGGUCGGGGUCGCGGGUUCGAACCCCGUCUGUCGCUCUA